UACAGAGGUCCCGAGCGUUGUUCGGAUUCAUUGGGCGUAAAGGGUGCGUAGGCGGCGGGGCAAGUCUGAUGUGAAAUCCCGGGGCUCAACCCCGGAACUGCAUUGGAUACUGCCUUGCUUGAGUACUGAAGAGGGAACUGGAAUUUACGGUGUAGCAGUGAAAUGCGUAGAGAUCGUAAGGAAGGCCAGUGGCGAAGGCGAGUUCCUGGACAGUUACUGACGCUGAGGCACGAAGGCCAGGGGAGCAAACGGG
rnacentral:rRNA from 1 species